UCAAGAAGUGUAUAUGUCUGCUGUGUACGAUGGAUGAACAUAAAAACCACGACACUGUAUCAGCUGCAGCACAGAGGACAGAGAAACAGCACCAGCUGAAGGAGACGCAGAGGUGUUUCCAGCAGAGGAUCCAGCAGAGAGAGAAAGAUCUUCAGCAGCUGAGAGAGGUUGUGGAGUCUCAUAAGCGCUCUGCACAGACAGCAGUGGAGGACAGUGAGAGGAUCUUCACUGAGCUCAUCC